GUCGUGGAGAAAAACAUAUCGUUCUCGAGGAUCGAUGGAAGAUCUUUUCCUUCGAUUAGUUGGAUCUCUAAACUUUUCUCGGUUAAACAGAUUCAAAGUUGUCGUCGAGAAAAAUAUAUUAUUCUCAAGAAAGAAGAAGGAUCGAUCGAGAAAACUUGUCGAUAUUGGUCGAUAUCUCGUUCACCAUCCUUUCCUUUUCCUUCGAUUAGUUGGAUCUCCGAACCUUUCUUAGUU